rnacentral:rRNA from 1 species
UACGUAGGGGGCAAGCGUUGUCCGGAUUUACUGGGCGUAAAGAGCGUGUAGGCGGCCAAGCAGGUCCGUUGUGAAAACUGAGGCUUAACCUCCAGACGUCGACGGAAACCGCGUGGCUAGAGUCCGGAAGAGGAGAGUGGAAUUCCUGGUGUAGCGGUGAAAUGCGUAGAUAUCAGGAGGAAUACCGAUGGCGAAGGCAGGUCCCUGGGCCAAUACUGACGCUCAUGCACGAAAGCGUGGGGAGCAAACAGG